CAGCUAGCGACGGCCGACGGACCGAGCGACCAGGGCGACGCACGUACAAAGAGAGCAGCAUCGUAAUCACUGUCACCGGUGCAGAGCGCAGCACACACGCACAGAAACGACCAGAGCGAGGGCAACCGUUGACUGAAUCGGGAAGAUAUCGACGUGCGCUUAGCUGAGAUCUUCCGCAUCGGUCGCCGCGGUAGGAAGAAAACGUUGGUCGUACUACUCGAAGCCAAGAAAAACUAACAGCCAGGCCGGAGAGCGGAAGACGACGUACGGAGAGCGCGCGGCGACAUCCAGGUUAGAAGAGAAAGAGGAGGCGGAAAGGGAGGAAGAGAAGAAAUUCACGGAAGUUCGAAAGUCUGCUGCCAGAAUGUGUUAUACGACCGGUUGGCUACACUUCGCCAGUGUGCUGGUAGUGUCCUGCUGCUUUAUCGCACAGGCUUCAGGUUCAUGUGCGGCUUACGGGCAGUCAUGCUUAGGAGGGUUUGGUAAGCGGACGGAUCUGGCGGAGAGUACGGCUGACCUGGGUCUCGGACUGC